ACGGAAGGAGAAAGAGGCGAAAGAAGAGGACUGCUGUAUUACCAAUCGGUCACGACCUACCAGUUCCCUCAGAGCUGACACAGGAAGUCCGGUCGUCGAUGAGAUUAGAAGCGGAUAGGAGAGAUAACAAUUUUGAUAAGGAGAACCGGCUACUUACGUCGUGGUCGACAUUCACGACCAUCAUCACCUCCGUCAGCACUGUCACUACGUUUGGCGCCAGCGUCAGUCUCCGCGUUGCGUGCACGAUUGGUGGGGUCAACUUCCCUCCCAUGUGCUAGCUGAUGUCUACGUAAACAGGCUCUAUGCUGCUUUGCUACGACGGUGUGCAAUUGGCGAUCAUUGUCUUAGAACGUAAAUUGCUAAGUAUG